AUGGCGAACAUACAUCCUGACUUCAAGAAGAAGAUGGCUCGUGCAGUGGGCAUAGUUAACUUGGAACUAUCCGACCCUUCUGAAGUUCUGCUCCAAGAUGUGGUCAAGGUGUUGGUGGACAGAACCACUGGUGUUGUGAUGCAAAAAGCAUUCCGCAUCUUGGCCUCCCCACUCCCGGUCGAUUAUAUGGACAAGCCAAUCGCAAGACUCUUCCCCAAUCCUGAUGAUUAUUUUGCCUCGAUCGGGCUUGAUUCAACAAUUGGUUCACCAUUCACUAUCCCCUGGUCCGAGUCUUCUUUGAACGAUGAUGUUCCGUAUAUUAUACAUGCUCGUUACCACCGGUUGGCUGGCCAUUUAGUGCUCCUUGCUUCCUUACCAACAGAUGGCGUUGAGAAUGCUUCAAGAGCCGCACAGUUCAAAAACCAUGUCCUUGAAGAGCUGUGUCAUCUGGCUAUCAAGAGCUCCACGAACCAUGUUGAUUCAUUGUUCCUUCCUCAUCCAAUUUAUGUAUGGGUGGUUCGGGAGAUUGAAGAACUUCAUGCAAAGAAGCAAGCUGCAUUGGGGGGCGGUGGCUCCCACCAAGGAAAGCGCAUCAAGUUUCAGAUUCAACAUCUUGAGGGCUUCUUGACCAACGGCAACCUGAAGUAUGGUUGGAAGCUCUUCUGCUGCAAGCAGGUUAUGUCGAAGUCUCUGGAAGGACUCGAGGAAGUUGUUGAGAAGCUCGAACAGCAGGACGAAAACCUGAAGGAGGUGUACCGAAUCCUUGCCCAUGAGCUUCCGGCAGAGUUCAUGAGCCAACCCAUUGGUGACCUUCUCCCUCAUACCAUCUUGCUGGGCCUCCCGCUGGACAUGGACAAGCCGGUGAGUGUAAAAUUUGGUCCAUAA
rnacentral:rRNA from 1 species